rnacentral:rRNA from 1 species
AAAGGAAUAGACGGGGGCCCGCACAAGCGGAGGAACAUGUGGUUUAAUUCGAUGAUACGCGAGGAACCUUACCCGGGCUUGAAAGUUAGCGACGGAUGCCGAAAGGUGUCUUCCAGAAAUGGCGCGAAACUAGGUGCUGCAUGGUUGUCGUCAGCUCGUGCCGUGAGGUGUCGGAUUAAGUUCCAUAACGAGCGCAACCCCUAUUGAUAGUUACCAGCGAGUAGUGUCGGGGACUCUAUCGAGACUGCCUGUGUAAGCAGAGAGGAAGGUGGGGAUGACGUCAAAUCAGCACGGCCCUUACGUCCGGGGCGACACACGUGUUACAAUGGUUGGUACAGAGGGUAGCUACCCAGCAAUGGGAUGCCAAUCUCAAAAACCAAUCUCAGUUCGGAUUGGAGGCUGAAACCCGCCUCCAUGAAGUUGGAUUCGCUAGUAAUCGCGCAUCAGCCAUGGCGCGGUGAAUACGUUCCCGGGCCUUGUACACACCGCCCGU